AACGAACGCUGGCGGCAUGCCUAACACAUGCAAGUCGAACGAGCACUUCGGGUCUAGUGGCGCACGGGUGCGUAACGCGUGGGAACAUGAACUUAGGUUCGGAAUAACUCUCAGAAAGGGGUGCUAAUAGCGGACAAUGUCUUCGGACCAAAGAUUUAUCGCACUUGGAUGGGCCCGCGUUGGAUUAGCUUGUUAGUAGGGUAAAAGACUACUAAGGCGCCGAUCAAUAGCUGGUCUGUGAGGAUGAUCAGCCACACUGGGACUGAGACGCGGCCCAGACUCCUACGGGAUGCAGCAGUGGGGAAUAUAGGACAGUCGGCGAAAUCCUGAUGCACCAAUGCCGCGUGAGUGAUGAAGGUCUUAGGGUUGUAAAGCUCAAUUAACCGUGAUCAUAAUGACAGUACCGAAAGAAUAAGCCCCGGCUAACUCCGUG
rnacentral:rRNA from 1 species